GACGAACGCUGGCGGCGUGCCUAAUACAUGCAAGUAGAACGCUGAAGCUUGGUGCUUGCACCGAGCGGAUGAGUUGCGAACGGGUGAGUAACGCGUAGGUAACCUGCCUGGUAGCGGGGGAUAACUAUUGGAAACGAUAGCUAAUACCGCAUAAGACAUUUUACUGCAUGGUAAGAUGUUAAAAGGUGCAACUGCACCACUACCAGAUGGACCUGCGUUGUAUUAGCUAGUUGGUGGGGUAACGGCUCACCAAGGCGACGAUACAUAGCCGACCUGAGAGGGUGAUCGGCCACACUGGGACUGAGACACGGCCCAGACUCCUACGGGAGGCAGCAGUAGGGAAUCUUCGGCAAUGGACGGAAGUCUGACCGAGCAACGCCGCGUGAGUGAAGAAGGUUUUCGGAUCGUAAAGCUCUGUUGUAAGAGAAGAACGAGUGUGAGAGUGGAAAGUUCACACUGUGACGUAUCUACCAGAAAGGAC
rnacentral:rRNA from 1 species